UUAACCCUACCAUGUCUUUAAUGGAGAGUCCGCAGGUUAUAAAUACUGUCACAAAUUUACGAAACAAAAUGCACAGGAAGCUUGCUCUCAUGGCUCAUGAAGAGUGAUGAUUGGACGUGGGAUUAUUCUGGACUUUCAGCGACGAGUUUUCCAGAUGGCAGGAAGCAAGAGUCAAAAUAGUGACGAAUAUUUCAGUUUCCGUGACGAAUUAAUUAUGAGAAUAGCGACGAUCAUGAGAGAAAUGUUUCGUCGAGCGGACAUAGAUAUGGCGUUGGAGUAUAUGUGACGGUUGCAUGACCGUCCGGGCAACGGCGGCGAACGUCUGAAUAUGGUCGGAGGUUAACGGCGCCGUUGCCAUCUUAUCAAAGGCAAGUCAUGUUGGCUAAUUUGGGUUCGACAACUACUCAAGAAUAUGGAUGAAAAUUAUAUUCCAGUUAAGUUGUCAUUUUCCUUUGUACUAGACUACUAGUAUUUCAUCAUUC